UUAAAGGGCUGCAGUAUAUUGACUGUACAAAGGUAGCAUAAUCAUUAGUCAUUUAAUUGAUGACUUGUAUGAAGGAUUGGAUGAAAUAUAAACUGUCUCUUAAUUAUAUUUAGAAUUUAAUUUUUUAAUUAAAAAGUUAAAAUAAAUUAGAAAGACGAGAAGACCCUAUAGAGUUUUAUAGGUAAAAUUAAUUGAGAUUAUUUAUAAAGAUUAAAAUUAAGAUUAAUUUAUUUAUUUUGUUGGGGUGACAGAAAAAUAUGAAAAACUUUUUAUAUGUUUAAAACAUUAAUAAGUGGUUAAAUGAUCCAGUAUUAUUGAUUAUAAGAAAAAAUUACCUUAGGGAUAACAGCGUAAUUUUUUUUUUUAGUUCAUAUAAAAAAAAAAGUUUGCGACCUCGAUGUUGGAUUAAGAUAAAAUUUAAAUGCAGAAG
rnacentral:rRNA from 1 species